rnacentral:rRNA from 1 species
UGCAGUCGAGCGAACAGAUAAGGAGCUUGCUCCUUUGACGUUAGCGGCGGACGGGUGAGUAACACGUGGGUAACCUACCUAUAAGACUGGGAUAACUUCGGGAAACCGGAGCUAAUACCGGAUAACAUUUGGAACCGCAUGGUUCUAAAGUGAAAGAUGGUUUUGCUAUCACUUAUAGAUGGACCCGCGCCGUAUUAGCUAGUUGGUAAGGUAACGGCUUACCAAGGCGACGAUACGUAGCCGACCUGAGAGGGUGAUCGGCCACACUGGAACUGAGACACGGUCCAGACUCCUACGGGAGGCAGCAGUAGGGAAUCUUCCGCAAUGGGCGAAAGCCUGACGGAGCAACGCCGCGUGAGUGAUGAAGGGUUUCGGCUCGUAAAACUCUGUUAUUAGGGAAGAACAAACGUGUAAGUAACUGUGCACGUCUUGACGGUACCUAAUCAGAAAGCCACGGCUAACUACGUGCCAGCAGCCGCGGUAAUACGUAGGUGGCAAGCGUUAUCCGGAAUUAUUGGGCGUAAAGCGCGCGUAGGCGGUUUCUUAAGUCUGAUGUGAAAGCCCACGGCUCAACCGUGGAGGGUCAUUGGAAACUGGGAAACUUGAGUGCAGAAGAGGAAAGUGGAAUUCCAUGUGUAGCGGUGAAAUGCGCAGAGAUAUGGAGGAACACCAGUGGCGAAGGCGACUUUCUGGUCUGUAACUGACGCUGAUGUGCGAAAGCGUGGGGAUCAAACAGGAUUAGAUACCCUGGUAGUCCACGCCGUAAACGAUGAGUGCUAAGUGUUAGGGGGUUUCCGCCCCUUAGUGCUGCAGCUAACGCAUUAAGCACUCCGCCUGGGGAGUACGACCGCAAGGUUGAAACUCAAAGGAAUUGACGGGGACCCGCACAAGCGGUGGAGCAUGUGGUUUAAUUCGAAGCAACGCGAAGAACCUUACCAAAUCUUGACAUCCUUUGAAAACUCUAGAGAUAGAGCCUUCCCCUUCGGGGGACAAAGUGACAGGUGGUGCAUGGUUGUCGUCAGCUCGUGUCGUGAGAUGUUGGGUUAAGUCCCGCAACGAGCGCAACCCUUAAGCUUAGUUGCCAUCAUUAAGUUGGGCACUCUAGGUUGACUGCCGGUGACAAACCGGAGGAAGGUGGGGAUGACGUCAAAUCAUCAUGCCCCUUAUGAUUUGGGCUACACACGUGCUACAAUGGACAAUACAAAGGGCAGCUAAACCGCGAGGUCAUGCAAAUCCCAUAAAGUUGUUCUCAGUUCGGAUUGUAGUCUGCAACUCGACUACAUGAAGCUGGAAUCGCUAGUAAUCGUAGAUCAGCAUGCUACGGUGAAUACGUUCCCGGGUCUUGUACACACCGCCCGUCACACCACGAGAGUUUGUAACACCCGAAGCCGGUGGAGUAA